GAUGAAGAACGCAGCGAAAUGCGAUAAGUAAUGUGAAUUGCAGAAUUCAGUGAAUCAUCGAAUCUUUGAACGCACAUUGCGCCCGCCAGUAUUCUGGCGGGCAUGCCUGUUCGAGCGUCAUAUCAACCAUCAAGCCCCCGGCUUGUGUUGGGGACCUGCGGCUGCCGCAGGCCCUGAAAACCAGUGGCGGGCUCGCUAGUCACUCCGAGCGUAGUAAUACAUCUCGCUCAGGGCGUGCUGCGGGUUCCGGCCGUUAAAAAAGCCUUAUUUACCCAAGGUUGACCUCGGAUCAGGUAGGAAGACCCGCUGAACUUAAGCAUAUCAAUAAGCGGAGGA
rnacentral:misc_RNA from 1 species